GAUGAAGAACGUAGCGAAAUGCGAUACGUAAUGUGAAUUGCAGAAUUCAGUGAAUCAUCGAGUCUUUGAACGCACAUUGCGCCCCCUGGUAUUCCGGGGGGCACGCCUGUCCGAGCGUCAUUGCUGCCCUCAAGCACGGCUUGUGUGUUGGGCCUCCGUCCUCCUCCCGGGGGACGGGCCCGAAAGGCAGCGGCGGCACCGCGUCCGGUCCUCGAGCGUAUGGGGCUUCGUCACCCGCUCUUGUAGGCCCGGCCGGCGCUUGCCGACACAUCAAUCUUUUUUCCAGGUUGACCUCGGAUCAGGUAGGGAUACCCGCUGAACUUAAGCAUAUCAAUAAGCGGAGGA
rnacentral:misc_RNA from 1 species